rnacentral:lncRNA from 1 species
AUGAAACCCUUCAGUCAGAAAGAUUAUAAGCUAAAGCCCUUCAGUCAGAAAGAUUAUAAGCUAAAGCUAAUGUUUGCUACUCAUUGUUUCAGGUUGAGGACAACCAUCUGGUCUCAGAGGCAGAAGAUGAGUUGGUGUCUGAGGAGGAAGAAGAAGAACUCAGAGAGCUUGAGGAGGAAGAGGAGCAAGCCUCAGAGGAAGACUAGUGUUCUGAAGCAGAGGAUUUUGGACCUGGAUUUUCCCACACAGGUAAUAGGUUUUUUUUUUUUUUUUUUUUUUCUUUUCGGAUUUUCCUACUACUAGGUAGUUAGGUUUUUUGUUUUUUUUUUUUUUUCUUGUUCUUCUCUGCCACUUGGUGGCGUUGAAGGAUACCAUUUGCUAGAGUAUAAAACACAAGUGUCUAGGUAUGACUUGUGAUAUUGGUCAGUCUGGUGAAUCAAAGACAGCUGAUUGUUUGAAAGAAAGAUCCUGUCAGAAAUGACAUGCUUACGCUUCCUAAAUCAUACUGGCUUAAAUGAACUGGUUGUGUUUGUAGCAUUAAGAUAUCAUGUAUUUUUAUCUCACAAUUUCACAGAUUUAUAUUUAUCGUUUAAGAUAGAAGUUCAUUGAGUAGCCUACUAUGAAAAGCUACUGUAACUUUAAUAGUUUAAAUCUUUAUUGAUACUCAAAUUCAGUGUUCAGAAAUGUGGCCCUUCCAGUCACAGUGAAUAACAUAAGCAGGAUAGAUGAUAGAAUUUAUAAACAAGAAGCUCUAUUGAUACUCUGUUGAGUAACUUCAAAGUUUCUCAAAGUACUGCUGUUCAUUUAACACAGAAAGAGGGUGUUUAAAGGCACAACAGCAAAAAAAAAAAAAGGCUGUUUAAUUCUAAGGAAAUAGUGACAUAGGAGAGGUUUAAAAUUUGUACAAGUGCAAAAAUAGAUAUUUGUAUAAAUGGGCAAAAAUAUAUUUACAGUAAUGCCCUUAAAACCUAGCAGGCAAGCGGGCUGUAGCACAAAUAAAUGCACAGACAUGCUGGUUGUGAUUUUAAAAAAUGACAGAGGUUUAACUCAUAAAUA